CCCUUAGAUGUUCUGGGCCGCACGCGUGCUACACUGAACGGUUCAAUGGGUGAGGUAGUGCGAAAGCAUGACCCAAUCUCAAAAUCCGUUCGUGCUGGGGAUAGAAGCUUGCAAUUCUCCUUCUUGAACGAGGAAUACCUUGUAAGCGCGAGUCAUCAUCUCGCGCUGAAUACGUCCCUGCCCUUUGUACACACCGCCCGUCGCUCCUACCGAUUGAGUGGUCCGGUGAGGCUUCGGGAGAGCUAAAUGGAUUGUGUUUCACAAACUAUUUGGCUUGAACUUAGUCAAACCUUGCUACUUAGAGGAAGGAGAAGUCGUAACA
rnacentral:rRNA from 1 species